AAGACUAUACUUUCAGUAAUCAUUUCUAUGGUUUGUUACUAGAGAAGUUUCUCUGAACAUGUAGAGCAUUAGAAAUCACAAGCAUUCCUAUACACCAAUAACAGACAGAGAGCCAAAUCAUGAGUGAA
ensembl:snoRNA U3 Small nucleolar RNA U3